rnacentral:rRNA from 1 species
AUUGAACGCUGGCGGCAUGCCUAACACAUGCAAGUCGAACGAGUGGCGGACGGGUGAGUAAUGUCUCUGAACCUGCCUGAGGGAUGGGGCUAACUACUGGAAACGGUAGCUAAUCCCGCAUACCAUCGGAUGUGCCCAUAUGGGAUUAGCUAGUAGGUGGGGUACAGGCUCACCUAGGCGACGACCCCUAGCUGGUCUGAGAGGAUGACCAGUCACACUGGAACUGAGACACGGUCCAGACUCCUACGGGAGGCAGCAGUGGGGAAUAUUGCACAAUGGGCGAAAGCCUGAUGCAGCCAUGCCGCGUGUGUGAAGAAGGCCUUCGGGUUGUAAAGUACUUUCAGCGGGGAGGCGUUACCAGCAGAAGAAGCACCGGCUAACUCCGUGCCAGCAGCCGCGGUAAUAC